rnacentral:rRNA from 1 species
AGGACGAACGCUGGCGGCGUGCUUAACACAUGCAAGUCGAGCGGUAAGGCCUUUCGGGGUACACGAGCGGCGAACGGGUGAGUAACACGUGGGUGAUCUGCCCUGCACUCUGGGAUAAGCCUGGGAAACUGGGUCUAAUACCGGAUAUGACCUGCUCUCGCAUGGGGGGUGGGUGGAAAGAUUUAUCGGUGCAGGAUGGGCCCGCGGCCUAUCAGCUUGUUGGUGGGGUAAUGGCCUACCAAGGCGACGACGGGUAGCCGACCUGAGAGGGUGACCGGCCACACUGGGACUGAGACGCGGCCCAGACUCCUACGGGAGGCAGCAGUGGGAAUAUUGCACAAUGGGCGAAAGCCUGAUGCAGCGACGCCGCGUGAGGAUGAAGGCGUUCGGUUGUAACCUCUUCAGCGAGGACGAAGCGCAGUGACGGUACCGUGCGAAGAAGAAGACGACCGGCUAACGUACGUAGACCGAGCGAGCCGAC